rnacentral:rRNA from 1 species
AUUGAACGCUGGCGGCAGGCCUAACACAUGCAAGUCGAGCGAGCGGCGGACGGGUGAGUAAUGUAUGGGGACUGCCCGAUAGAGGGGGAUAACUACUGGAAACGAUAGCAAAUACAGCAUACUAUCGGAUAACCCAUAUGGGAUUAGCUAGUAGGUGAGGUAAUGUCUCUCCUAGGCGCCGAUCCCUAGACGGUCUGAGAGGAUGAUCAGCCCCAAUGCGACUGAGACACGGCCCAGACUCCUACGGAGGCAGCAGUGGGGAAUAUUGCACAACGGGCGCAAGCCUGAUGCAGAAAUGCCGCGUGUAUGAAGAAGGCCCUAGGGUUGUAAAGUACUUUCAGUCGGGAGGCGUUACCGACAGAAGAAGCACCGGCUAACUCCGUGCCAGCAGCCGCGGUAAUUC